rnacentral:misc_RNA from 1 species
GAUGAAGAACGUAGCGAAAUGCGAUAAGUAAUGUGAAUUGCAGAAUUCAGUGAAUCAUCGAAUCUUUGAACGCACAUUGCGCCCAUUAGUAUUCUAGUGGGCAUGCCUGUUCGAGCGUCAUUAAGUCCACUUAAGCCCUGCUUAGUGUUGGGAGACUGCUCCAGCGGUGCUACCCUGUAGCUACCCUGCAGCUCCUCAAAGACAGCGGCGGAGUUGUGGUAUCCUCUGAGCUUAGUAACUUGUUCUAGCUUUCGAGUACACCACUUCCACUGCCGUAAAACCCUUAAUUUUUAAUGGUUGACCUCGGAUCAGGUAGGAAUACCCGCUGAACUUAAGCAUAUCAAUAAGCGGAGGA